UCCUUCGUUAACAGAAAAAAGUACACUGGCUACUUGGAGGGUUUUUUUGUUAAUCGGUGGCGUCCAUCUGCAGCCUUUGUUCAGCAGGUCUCUGCAGCUCUCCUCUCCUGCACGCGCAUGUUUAUCGUGGCCUCCUGAAAGCCCAGAAGCCCAUAGGUCAGAGAACAGCGUUUUGAUGGAUUAUGGGAUUGUAACUGUCCCGGCCAGUUGACAGCUUUUAUUGGCUGGGAGGAUGAGCCUGUAAACCUUUAUAUAAUUAUUGUAUUAAAGGCACUGUGCCUCUGUGUUGCUGGCGCUUGUUCAGGGAUCAAUGUGGAGAUAAUUUCAAAAAUGAAUACCCCAAGCUGUGCUGUGUAAGGCUCCCACCCUGCAAAAACUCCACUUCCCAAAGCUCGACUUCCUUCGGUUUCAUGCAGUGCUCAGGAAUGUCUGUUCUACGCCUGCAGUUGGCCUCCUCUGAAGACAUUUCUAAGAGAGACUGCUUUUCCUUCACAUAAAGAUACUGCAUCUCCUAGCUUCAAUGUUUGACUUACAGCCUAUCUGUUGACAUUUAUCAUGAAAACGUUGAAAGAAACUUAAUAUAGUAGACAUUUAUCCAGCCCUUCCUGUGUGGCAUGUAUGAUGCCAAAUCCUAGAGGCACAAAGAUCCCAAGAUGAAGCCUCUCACCGUGAGAAGCUCCUAGCACAGAACAUAAGAGCCACACGACGACGGAUAAAUUCAGACAUGGUGCUGGAAAUGCGGCAGCAGGCGUGCUGGAUAUGGUGGGUCCAAGGCCCUGAAAGCAAUGGCGUUGACAUCCAGCUGCGGUCCUAGAGAGGGCUUCUCAGAGCGGACAGUGGCUGAGCCAGGGGUGAACUAGGAUGCACCAGGGUGCGCUAGGCAGACAGGUGUCUCGUUAAGAGGGGGCAGCGUGUACAAAGAUGCAAAGCUAUGGAACAGUACGCGGGACGUAGGGAGCAAGUCUUGGGAGUGAGGGGCGGGGAGGCUGAGAAACAUGCACCAGAACUGGAGUCUGUGAAAAUGGUAGAAACAAUUUUUAAGGACCAGGGUUACUUUUAAUCCCACGGUUUCCGUAUUCUACUGAAUUUCCAUAUUCUGAUGAAUUAUCCAUUUAAUGGCUUCCUGAGUAAUCAUUUUGGAAAGUUAUACCAAUAAAAUACUCCAGUCUUUAAAUUUCCCCCA
rnacentral:lncRNA from 13 species